ACAAAGUGCAGGCCUCGUCUAACACUGACACGUUUACAACACACCAUUUGGUGCAUCUAUUAUGUUACCCACUAUGAGCCAGCCCAUUUAAAAGGCAGUGAAAGCCCAUUAAAAUUAACUAUUCAGCCCAACUUUUACAAAACUAUAGGGUUUUACACACUUUCUCCUCACUAACACUCUUUACCCUCAAAACUUAAGUUACUUAUCCCACAGUCUGCCUUUGAAAAAAACAAACAAACCACUAUGCUACCCAGUGCCCAAUUUUUCUUUGCUGCAACUUCAAUUCAAAACUCAUGACAGCAGGCGACUGCUGUCAGUGUUUGUACAUUUAGAGUUCCCAUAUCAUAUCAAGAAAAUGUUCAAUCAGAUUGAGGUGAUAUCCCCACUCAAAUCUGUGAAAAGGGCAACUCCAUUUGCCAGCUUUAUGCUAGCAAUCAUCAACUACAUUUGUUGCUGUUUUAUGGAACGGUUGGCUUGAGAGAAAUAGGAAAGCUUUUAAAGGGGUCGAGAACCUUUAGGAAGAGGAGUGCUCCACAAUGAAGCUCAACAACUCCUCUAGGAAGUCAGUAACCCUAAGUUUUGUGAUUGUCCUUCGCUUUUUGUUCUAAACAAUUAUAGCCAUUUGUUGUCUCGUUCUAUGUUUUGUAGUUAGUUUCUAUAUAGAUCACUUGUAUUCUUUCAUUGGUUCAAUGAAAGCUUAUCAAAGCACUCAUUACUAUGAGAGCAGAGGGCUUGCUUUAGACAUUAUAUUGAGCAAUAGGGAAGGAGUGCAUUUUUUCAA